rnacentral:misc_RNA from 1 species
UCCUGGUUAACCCAGGCAGUCUCAUUAGAGUUCCCACCUAAAAUGUUGGCAACUAAUGAUAAGGGUUGCGCUCGUUGCGGGACUUAACCCAACACCUCACGGCACGAGCUGACGACAGCCAUGCAGCACCUGUGCAGCGGUCCUUUCGGAAAUCGACAUUUCUGCCGCUGUCCCCUGCAUGUCAAGUCUGGGUAAGGUUCUUCGUGUACCAUCGAAUUAAACCACAUGCUCCACUGCUUGUGCGAGCCCCCGUCAAUUCUUUUAAGUUUCACCCUUGCGAGUGUACUCCCCAGGCGGUAUACUUAACACGUUAGCUCCGACACGGUUGGGGUUGAGACCAACCACAUCAAGUAUACAUCGUUUACAGCAAGGACUAC